rnacentral:rRNA from 1 species
UACGUAGGGGGCUAGCGUUGUCCGGAAUCAUUGGGCGUAAAGAGCGUGUAGGCGGCUCGGUAAGUCCGCUGUGAAAGUCCAGGGCUCAACCCUGGAAUGCCAGUGGAAACUGUCGAGCUAGAGUCCGGAAGAGGCGAGUGGAAUUCCUGGUGUAGCGGUGAAAUGCGCAGAUAUCAGGAGGAACACCAAUGGCGAAGGCAGCUCGCUGGGACGGUACUGACGCUGAGACGCGAAAGCGUGGGGAGCGAACGGG